AAAAGAAAAGAAGAAAGGAGAAAAGACUAGAAGAGGAAGGGAAUUUAUUUUUCCCAUUCAUUUUCUUCUCCUUCCCGUAAACAUGCAUAAACCCCUCUUCCUCCAUCUUUUCUUUCUACCCCAAAAUUGCUUCAAAUUUCCAUCUCUAAUCAACUCUCCAUCUUCUCCCAACACAUUUUCAAAGUAGAAUUUGAAGAAAAGAAGAGAAAUCAAAGAGAAAAUUCAAGAUUGAGGGAGGGUGAAUAGUAACCAAGGGUUUUGAAAUUUAAAGAAGAAGUGGAAGGGAAAAGUGGAAACUCUAAAGGAAAAGGGAAAGAAAAGGAAGAUUAGGAAGUUUUAAGCUUGUGGAAGAUUUUAGAAGGUUGUAGACCCAAGUAGCAAUAGAUCAAGUUCUACAUCAACCCAGCCAAAGUUACAUCAUUAUUUAUCUUGGGUAUAUUUUGUAAAUUUUAUAUAAAGUUGAUUUUGAAAAUUUGGCAUGUACAUAAAGUUUUAGAGAUAAAGUUGUAUAUGGUUGGAAAGGGAUAUAUUUGAAGAUUUUAAUUUUGAUGUAAAUAUGGAUGAUUAGCAUAAGUUUUUGUAUUGAGACUAAUGAGAUAGUUUAUGAAGUGUUUGAUCUUGAUUGAAAUUGUAUUGAUGUUGAAAGAAGUUUGGGAGUUGAGGUUGAAGUUUAUAGAAGUGUGAUAUUACUAUUCACAGGUGGAAUUAAGUCAAUAUUGCAGGGGAAACUCUGCCGAAUUUUCGGUAAAA